GGACCCAUAGCUCAGCGGUAGAGCAUCUGAUUCCAGAUCAAACAGGGUCAUCCGUUCAAAUCGGGUUGGGUUCA